AAAGUGGAAUAUCCUGGUCACCAAUCCACAUCCUGUAAAACCUGACUUGAGACUCCUCUCCUACAGGAAGGCCUCCAGGAUUACUCUCUUAGCCUCCAGGUGAGCUCAUCGUCAUUGUCAGGGCUUGCACAGUUAGCCUGGAAGUCAUUUUUUCACUUACAGAUAAAAUCCCUUUAGAACUCAUUUUAGAGGCUUCGGUUGUAUGUAUUUCAGCUUUGUAAGCAGAUCGUGUGUUAUAUCAGGUCCAAAACGGUGUCUUCUAUCUCUUCCCUAUUCCCCCAAGCUGAGCUCAUGUCACCUGUCACAUAGGAACCUUUUCCAGUAACCUUGGAAUCCAGGUAAAUGGUGUCAUCGUCCCCUAGCCUGCCAGGCUUGGAACCUGCAAGCCCUGGAAAGCAUCUCAGCCGUCCGGCGUGCUGACAUUUAAUGCACAAAUGGACUUGAGGCCAGCAGCAUAACAGGAUUUCACGCCCUGAAACCUGCACCGAGGUAUCUGUGCCUAACAGCUUCAGAGAGGGGUGGGGGCUGUGAGCUUGGGGUCUGACUUUGGGCAGAGGACCUGGCCGGGAAACGGUGAGUCUCAAAGCCGCCUCUGGUCCUCCCAGGAGUAGGUAUCAGGAGGGGAGCCCCCUGGUCAGGGCACCUGACCUGGCUGCCCUGGCCCACCGAGCUGUCAGGAGGGGCAAAGGGCACCAGUCUGUUGACCUUAGGCCAUGAGCAGGUGAGCCCAGGGAACCGUUUGGCUGAACAAACAGCCUUAGAGACUCUUAGGGUAACUUCCAGGUUUAAGAUGAGUGGCUCUUUGUAAAAUACAGGUAAAUUGGGAGAAAAGACACCAGGCUUGAUUCAGUUACUUUGGUUCAUCCCUGCUUGGGUCAUCCUGGGAUUCCGGCCAGCCGUCUCCACCCUCACAUGGGGCCAUGGGCUCUGGGCUCGGGCAUCUCCUGAUGGCCUUGGCCAGCAAGGGUGGGUGGCCCCCGGUACCUCAACAACCCCAGCGGACGACCAGCAGCUGGCAGAGCAGGGUCACUAGGAGCAGAGCAGGGGCACACGAGCAGUGGGCGUCCUCAGGGCCCUCGGGCAUGUUCCCCUGAACUGGGGCUCUGAGAGUUUUGGCUGAGCCGGGGUGGCCCGCGGGCCCAGACUGUGGCCACAAACAGAAGCAGCCACGCGGGCCCCAGGGUGGUUGGGGUGACUCUGCUCUCCAGCCGUACUCAGCGCCCGGGCCUUCCAUCCUCCUGCAGUUACUGGUAAGAGACCCACUGGGCAGCCCCGGGCAUUGGAAAUCUCCUCCUGGAGGCUGAGCGGGAGGUAGAGAUGGUCCAGGCCUCGAGGCUAGCUCCUGGCCAGCCUCGUCCCCAACCCUUCAUGGCCUGGGGCCUCACAGCCCCUCAGGCUUCUGCACUGGGCCUGCUCCUCCCUGUGUCCAGAAUCUCUCUCCUGUCUCUUGUGAGGACACAAGCUGUAAGGUUGGGGCCCACCCUUAAUCCAGACCCUUCACUUGAUCACAUCUGCCGAGAGCCCUAUGUUCAAAUGAGGUCACAUUCACAGGUACUGGGGACUUGGACUUCACUUUUGGGGGCAUGAUUCCAUCUGCCAGCCUGGUCCUUGAGCUCGCAAUCAUGAACGUCAUGUCCUUUGGUAGAGAUAGACGGGGUUGUCCGGGGACCCAGUCCUGCUCUCCAAGGCUUGUGGUCUUUCUUCCCCUUCUCCUCCUGAACCCAGGGUUAGGGGAGGGGAUAUCUAUCACAUCUUGGUGCCCCCGUCUGUGCCGACUCCUCAAAAAUAGAAACAAAUGCCCAGUUGGCUUCAGGUUACCAUUACAGUCCUACUAUGUACAUGGAGUGAAGGGCCUCACCGGCCUCAGCGAACUGGGUCUAGUCAAAGAACAGAAUCCAUGUGGAGACAUGUCACACGAUGACCCAUGUUCUGCUCAGUGGGGGCUGGCCUUUUAGAGUGUGUUGCACACUGAACAAGUAGACUAAGAAUGCCUCUGUGAGGGAAUAGCUAGAAAAGGUCCAAAGAGCCAAAAUUCUGCAAAGUAGAGCUCGUUUUACUAUUUCAACUACAGUAGAAAUCCUCUUCACAGAGGCUUUUCGGCUGGUUGGUUAAGUGAAAAAGUCCUGAAAACAAGGAAUGCUUUUUAAAAAAAAAUCUAUAGAAAUAAUCUUGUUUGAAUUUCGAACAUGCAAAUGCACACUUUUGAAAGGUGAAAACUUUGUCUUUUUGGGGUAGUGCCGUGGCCUUCUCUUAGAGUAUGGGUCAUUGCCAAGAACUGGGGGUGCCUUUCUGCUGCAAACCACACCUGUGGUCACAGCUGGGAUUUCUGCUUUGGGUCUCCUGAAAGCAGGACGCAUACGAAUAAUAACCAAAUGAGACAGACUCACUGAUAAAGGCACUGGAGAACUUCCAAGGGUUCUGGAAUGUUCUCUAUCCUGAAUCACAUGAUAGUUACACAAGCUAUACAAAUAAGAUUAAUUUUUUGGCUUUUUUUUUACCUUGAUAAGAAAAUUUUAAAAAUACAAAAAAUUGAGAACAAAAGAGGUAAGGUAAUCUUAGUAUGUGUUCUACAUUUUUAUGAUUUUCCCUAUUUUCUUUUAUUUUUAAAGAUUUUCUUUAAAAAAUAUUUUACUUAUUAUUUGAGAGAGAGUACAAACAGGGGAGCAGCAAGCAGAGGCAGAGGGAGAAGCAGACUCGGCUGAGUAGGGAGGCCGAUGUGGGGGCUUGAUCCCAGGACCCCGGGGUCACGACCUGAGCCAAAGGCAGAUGACUUUCCCUACUUUCUACAAGUGUCCUGUCCACGGCUCACAUAAUGGCAACUUUCUUAAGGCAAGCUCAUUAUGGAAUCUUUCUAGUCAUUCAACUCAGUUUUCAUAGACACAGAAUCCUUUCUUUUUCAUUGCAACGGCCACAGUUGAUGUAUUGUGUAAUCAAAUUGCACACUGUGAUAAGUUUUAGGAACAAACACGAUGGGCCCUCGGGAGGCGUGUCAGGAAAGAGGAAGGACAUGCGGGCCAGGGCCCUGGCACCCAGUAGUCCCCGUGCCCUCUGGCCGAACAUGAGCUGCCCAGGGAGGCCUGCUGACUAGCCAGUUAUCCACCCCUACUGUUAUCUCCCUUCUGUAAAUGUGCAUGUGAUGUUACCCUAAGUCUGCAGGACAGCUUUUGUGGAAGGCACUGGGUCUCCCUCGUGAACCCACCGAGUGUUGGCCCAGAAUUCAGGGGUUGUCUUCCCCGAUCUGGCUUUCCUGGGACACAGUGAUACAGCCUCUGCUGAAUCAGUUCAUUUUUGCCUCAGUUUACCCCCGACAGGUGGGAAUAUGAGCCCUGCCCUACCACAAACGACUGUAGGGAGUCACUGGGGGAGAGACAGACCCCACCCAGGGGUGCCUGGCCUGAGGGGUGGCCCUUGGGGAAACCAUGUUGGCAUGUCCACACAGGCAGGACCAGGGAUUAAAGCAGAAACAGCCUUCGUUUCCCCUCCUUGCUGCCACGGCUGCCUCACUACGUGGGCUCCUCUGGGACCUAGCUUCAAGUCCCCCUGUGGCCAGCCUGGGACACACAGAGUGAACUUGGUACUGAGCACUGCUUGCUCCCCUCCCAGACCCUGGCCCACAGGUGGCCCUAAGGGGACGUUGUCUGGGUGCUCAGCCAGGCUCUCAUCAUAGGGUGAUGCAUGGGAGUGCAGCCAGGGCAUUAGAUCCCAUUAGGCACCGAGCCAUGGGGACGUCCUCACCUCGGCUACCUCCAAAUGUGCCCUAAUUUGGACAGAGGAUCUUUGCAGGCACGUGCUUAAGAUGACGUGCAACGGAUUACAAGGGCUGUGCUCAUGUGCAAGGGAGGUUUGGAUGUCUGCGCAGCGGCGGGAGAGGCCUCAGGGGGAGCCGGCCCUGCCUGCACCCUGACCCCAGACUUCAGGCUUCAGACCGUGCGGAAGUAAGUUUCUGUCUGUCCCCCCCAGGGUGGCGUAUCGGUGAGGGCAGCCCUGCCAAUGUACCUGCUGAACACACACCACACAGCACACAUCUCUUGGCCACAGGUGGUCACUUCACCUGUGACUACGAACCACAGGGCCAGGUAUCAAAGAUGGCUUUUAUUUAUUUUUAUUUAUUUAUUUAUUUAUUUAUUUAUUUAAAGAUUUCAUUUAUCUAUUCAUGAGAGACACACAGAGAGAGGCAGAGGGAGAAGCAGGCUCUAUGCAGGGAGCCCCAUGUGGGACUCGAUCCCAGGACUCUAGAUCACACCCCGGGCCAAAGGCAGACACUUAAGGGCAGAGCCACCCAGGGAUCCCCAAAGAAGGCUGUUGAAACGCGAGUGUACUUUGAGAGGAUGCAGCCCCGUGAGCAUCUGUGGCUGAUAAUUUGGUGUGGGAGACAGCAUAGCCCAGCAGCUGAGACCCUGGAGCAUGAGGCCAGUUAGGUCCCAGCUCUGCCUGUUCCCAUACGUGUGGCCAAGAGCAAGUGCCAUCACCUGCUCUGCUGCCCCUGUAAAUGGGAGGUAAUAAGCUGUACUCACCUCAUGGCAUUACACAAGGAUCAAGUGAGUUAAUAUUUGCAAAGGGCUCAGCGCAGAGCCUGGGAAAUGGAAAGCCCGAUGUGUUUGCUGUUCUCUCCGUCAUCUGAGAGGCCGGGGUGGCAGGUGACUGGGAACACAGUGUGGUGGUGUGGGCAGCGGGGGCCAAGCCACCAUCCUGAGCGUGCCAGGACCUCUUUGCACUCUCAGCAGUGUUGAGGACACAAGGGACAGUUGUUCCUGGGGAUUACACCUGUUGAUAUUUUUUCCCCAUUAGAAAUGACUGAUUAGAACUCUCCUGUACUGGAAAAUAAAACCGAGAACAUGUAACAAUAUUUAGUAAUUCAUUUAAAAAUAAUGAUAUUAUUAUUCAUUUAAAAAUAAGGAUGAUAUGUCCUUUCUGUUUUCAUGUGAACAUUUUACGGGAAAUAGCUAUAUUUACAUUUCUGUAAAGCUCUUUCAAUCUCCUGAGCUCGGGACCCCACGUCCUCAGCCCGCUGCCUUUCACCCCCAGGCCAACCUAACUGCACACCUGCACCUCUGGCCAGGUCUCCCAAGGGCCCUGGCAGUGGAGGCAGAGACACCUGCCUCCUUCCUAUGCCCCGUUCACCCAUGCGUCCGGCCUUGGGUCCUGCACCCGGUGCUGGGUCCUGCACCCGGUGCCCGUGGCCGAAGACUAAACGCUGGAGAGACUUUAUUGCCUCAUCACCCCUAGACACAGUCCAGCCAUCUGAGAACACCAGGACCUCACCCUGGUCAGUCCUUUGGUGGCCAGGAGAUGUCCCUGUCGUGUCCCUGCCAAUGCAGGGCCAGAGGCCAUGGGAGCCACGGAAUUCAGAUCCUUGAGUGCAGCACAGCUCACCCCAGGGCCUGCCGCGGCGCCCAGAGCAUCAGCCGGGCUGCUCUGAAGAAACAGAGCUCAGAGGAGAUUUAAACAUAGACACGUGCACGGUGGAGUGUGGGCUCAUGUGGCGGCGGAGGCUGGCAAGUCCCAGGAGUUGCACUGUGCAGGCAGCCCAGGUGGCUCAGCGGUUUAACACAGCCUUCAGCCCGGGGUGUGUUCCUAGAGUCUCGGGAUCGAGUCCCAUGUCGGGCUCCCUGCAGGGAGCCUGCUUCUCCCUCUGCCUGUGUCUCUGCCUCUCUCUCUGUGUUUCUCAUGAAUAAAUAAAUAAAAUCUUUAAAAAAAUAAAAAAGGAGCUGCACUGUGCAAGCUGAGAGCCAGGGGAACCACGGGGUAAGAUGUCCCAGGCCGACGUCCCAGUUCGGAAACAGGCAGAGAGCAGAUGCUCCCCCACCCGCUCUGUUCCAUCCACACCUCCCGCUGAUCGGUGAGGCCCACCUGCCCCAGGGGGAGGGCAACCUGCUUUUCUCAGUGUGCAGAUUCAGACGCUCAUCUCAUCCUGAAACACCCUUGUGGAGGACACCCGGAGCACUGUCUGACCAAACAUCUGGGCACCUGAGGUUUGGCCACGUGAUGCGUGAAGGUGACCGCCACACCUGCUGAAGGCUGUCCAGGUGCUGCCAUUCAUUGACCUGAGGCAAACGGCCUGUGCCGUCCUUCUGACUACAUGACGAUGGAGCCAUCAAGGUCAGGGUGAGGGACCUGGACACCACGCAGGGCAGCACAGCCCAGGAGGAGCCUCAUCCCAGGUCACCCUGGGUCAUCCUGGGUCACCCCAGAGUCCUUCUGGCCCAUGAUACCCAUUUGCUUCUCCAGAAGCCUUGAUUACAGGCUGGAAGUGUGAAUACAGUCUAAGCAGAUACCAGUGUCAGUGGAGAUAAACAUCAAGCUUUAUUGACUUAAGAGGUAAAUAUUGAUGGAACUUAAAUACCAAAUCAAUAUUUACCUCAAGGGACAAUACAGCCUGAAAUUGAAGUUGGGCCAUGUGUGCUCUUCCAGCACUUUAACUGCAGACUCCCGACGUCUUCAUCAGGAGCGAUGUGGUGAGAGAUUCCUCGAGGCACCAGCAGUGAGGGCUGGCCGUGGUGGCCGUGGGUCCCCACUCACCAGAAAGCCUAAGAGUCAGAAUUCGAAACCUGCACCACCCAUGCAGAGCAAACCAGGAAACUCAUGGCUUAGGCUUUUCGCUGAGAGUCCACCUGAGGGAAGGUAGAAGCUAGAACGGCACCGAGGCUGCACCUGCCAGCCAGGGCCGGCCGGCGACAGCUGGCUGCAUGUGCUGUGCACCGCGAGGCGAGCAAGGCGCUGCCCCAGGCCUGGGCACGUGUGGCUCUCUCGGUGGCCUGGUGCGCUGGGGGGUCUGAGAUGCUGCCACGUGUCACACCUGCCCCUCACCCCGGCUCCUCAGCCACAGUGAAGCAGCGUCAGCUGGGAUCACAGCAGUGCUGAUGUCCGCUCAGAAAGAGAAGCUGUGGACGGCGUAGGGGCUUGAGAAGGGAUGCUCGGGAAAGAGAUCUAAACUGAAUCUGUGGUCCCGUGCACAAAGUCCCCACUGUGACGGGGAAGAGGCUGAUGCUGGCAGGGCUGGGCCCCUCACCCCCUCGCGGAGCCCCCGAGGGUGUCACCGCCAGCCCCGCUCCACCCCCACCUGCCUGGGGCAGACCCAAGCCCAAAGCUCCGAGCCCCAGGGCACCACUCUCAAGGCCACACAUGGUUUCUGGCUGUAGGUCCAGCACAUCGGCCACCACAGGGGCUGCAUUAGUUGGCCUAGGACGGCCCCAGGAUGCUGCAGGCACCCCCCCCUGCUGUGAGCCUGCUCCCAUAGGUGCACCUCCUGGAGCCCUUACAGUGUCAGUGAGGCCCCAGUACACAGGGGGUGCUCUCUGACCCAAGACUGCGCCUGCCAUCUUGACAGAUGUGGCCUUGCCCCAGAGGCCACACCAUGCACAUUUCUGGUUCGCCCAUGACUGGGUCACAUCCCAAGUCUCCAGGCACGCUCCGAGCUCUCCAACGUCUGUGUGCAGCAGGUGCCCUCAGAGCUGCCGCAUUCGGGCCCAGGACCUCCACCUACUGGGUCAGCAUUGCCAGUGUGCAGCCUGGCCUUGGUAUUGCUCACGUCGCCAUGUGUCGGGCUCCCAGACAGGAGGCCUCCCAAAGCUUCAGGCGGCCCGCCUCCCGGUCUGGGACUUCGGCCAGCUGUGCUGGGCUUCCGUGUCCCCGAGACUCUCACUUCCCCUCCAUUCUUUUUUAAAAAAAAAGGGGGUCCAGGGGCGCCUGGGUGGGUCCAUCGGUUGAGUGUCUGACUCUUUUUUAUUUUUAUUUUUAUUUUAUUUUAUUUUAUUUUAUUUUUUUGAGUGUCUGACUCUUGAUCUCAACUCAGGUCGUGAUCUCAGGACCAUGAGUUCAAUCCCCAUGCUGGACUCCUGGUUGGUUAUAGAGCCUACUCAAAAAAAUAAAUACAUAAAAAUUAAAAAAAAAGAGUCUGUGUCACAAAGGAAUAAAUCCCAUCAUACAAAGAUGCACACAGUACAGGUACACCUAGGAUAAAGUGAAUCCUUCCUCCUCUGCUCCCCUCCUGGAAGUCAGCCUCAUAUGGCCAUGGCCUACCAUGGCCAAUUUGUUGUGAGGAGGACGCAUGCAUGCAGAAAUACAGCUGAACAAAUGGUUAUUACAGUUUCUUCAACUUUACAUAAAAGGCUUGUGCUACGCACGCUGACCUAUGACUUGUCUGUUGAAUGGGACAAGACAACAUGGGUAAAACAGACCAACUGGGAUCUCGCCCACGGCUGGACAGGGUCAGUGGCUGCAGCUCUGAAGCUUGGUCUCAGAACCCCCACGCACUCUUAAAAAUCACGGAGGACCCCAGAGAGUUUUCAUUGAGCUGGAUUACAUCUGCUGACAUUUACCACAGCAGAAAUUAAAACCAAGAAAUUAAGAUAAACGAACUCAUUUUAAAAUAAAAAUAAACCCAUCACAGGUUAAUAUAUGUAACAUGUUUGUACGAAAAAUAACUAUUCCCAAACAGAGGCUUUUAUCAAGAAGACUGGCACUGCCUUAUACGGCGGUGGACGGCUGGAUCCUCCUGUCUGCAUCUGCCUGCUGCCCGCGGCAAUAUCCUGUAGCCACUGGAAAUGAGGCAGAAAAGGGGAAAUACCGUGUUCCUGUUAUGAAAAUAGCUUUGAGCUCCUGGCCCCCCCCGCCCCGGGAGAACCUCGAAGCCCCGGACCUCGCCGCCGCGAUGGCUUUCUGCAUAAGAAUGUCACGCGUGUUCCUAAGUAUCUGUCUCUGUCGCUGAGCGUCACCGACUGAUUUCGGAGCUCCCACCACGACCCGGACAUUCCACAGAGUUGGGGAACAGCCAGACUCCAAGGUGGCAUCCAGAGAUUCUCAUCCCUUGGUCUCCUGCCUCUUGGGUGGGUUCCUGUCACAUCAACCAGAGCUGGUCUCCUCAAGCAAUGGAAGAGAUGGCAGAGAUGAUGGUAUAUGACUCUAAGUCUAGGUUAUAGAAGUCAUUGCAGCUUCUGCUCCGGGCUCUGGAUUGCUCGUUCUGGGAAAAGUGAGAUGCCAUGUUGGUGAGGACACUCAAGUCAAGCUAUGGAGAGGCCUCUGUGGAGAGGACCCACCUGGCCAGCCACGUGAGGGAGCCAUGUUGGGCGUGGAUCCUCCUGGCCCAGCUGAACCUUCAGACCAGCCCUCGGCCCCAGGCGGUCCCCUGAGCAGACAAGCAUCCAUCUGUCAAUCCUCCCCUGAACAUUUGACCCUCAGAAACUAUAAGACACAAAAUAUAGCUACUGCUUUUUCCAACCACCAAAUUUGGGGUGACUUGUUACAUAGCA